rnacentral:rRNA from 1 species
UACGGGGGGGGGCAAGCGUUGUUCGGAAUUACUGGGCGUAAAGGGUUCGUAGGUGGCCCGCUAAGUCAGACGUGAAAUCCCUCAGCUCAACUGGGGAACUGCGUCUGAGACUGGUGGGCUUGAGUGCAGGAGAGGAACGCGGAAUUCCAGGUGUAGCGGUGAAAUGCGUAGAUAUCUGGAGGAACACCGGUGGCGAAGGCGGCGUUCUGGACUGUUACUGACACUGAGGAACGAAAGCCAGGGGAGCAAACGGG